GUUCCUGCGCCGGCGCAGGGCAAGGACUCGGAGACGUAUUAGAACGUCCCGUUUGUUCGGCUCCGCCGUGUGCGGCGGCUGGCAGCUCUGGCCCCCGCGGUCCCCGCACUUUGAAUACCCCGCGCGCCGGCGAGCUCAGGAAUCAUGCAGCCUGUACCCCCAGGGACAGCUGUAAGUGUUAGAAAGUGCUCUGUUGCCCUUCGAUUGCAGAGCUCCUUUUAUAGGGCCCAGGGUCCCAGCUCGUGAAUGUCCGAGGCGGGAUUGGGACUCGGGAAGAUGAGCCUUCCUGACUCCAACGUAACGCUCCCCGAUUUUCCCUUUCAUCCGCCUAAAGCUGCCUCUCCAACUCCCAUCCUAGUUUUUCCUGGGGGCGGGGGGCGCGGAGAAGGGGGCUCUCCCCUGUGACAGUAUCAGACAGCUGAAGAGUUACUACGUGCUGAACUCCCCCUAAAUCCAACCUGUUUCACGCUGACCGUCAUCCAGUCUGAGUUCUUACAAUUUCUUCAGGGCCCUCCCAGCUCUGAGCUCCCGGGUUCUAAGGGCCCUCCCAGCUCUGACAUUCUGGGUUCUAAGGGCCCUCCCAGCUCUGAGCUCCCGGGUUCUAAGGGCCCUCCCAGCUCUGACAUCCCAGGUUCUAAGGGCCCUCCCAGCUCUGACCUCCCAGGUUCUAAGGGCCCUCCCAGCUCUGACCUCCCAGGUUCUAAGGGCCCUCCCAGCUCUGACCUCCCAGGUUCUAAGGGCCCUCCCAGCUCUGACCUCCCAGGUUCUAAGGGCCCUCCCAGCUCUGACCUCCUGGGUUCUAAGGGCCCUCCCAGCUCCCUCCUGACCCUGCAACAUCCAGUUACUGUCUUUACUAUUCUGUGAUGUCCGUUCUGGCGCUGACAGCCUGCUCUAAGACCCCUUCUAUCCGUGACAUUCUGGGUUCUGACACCUCCCAGCUCCACCAAUCAUUCAGGGUGCUUCCAGCUCUGACAUUGACUGACCAGAUGGAUACCUCGAUUAACAAUCUCUCUAUGUCAGGAUAAAAUCUCAGUGCUUCAGCUCUCGGAUAUUUAUAUUUACGACUCUCCAAGAGCUGUUUCUAAUCGAUGUUUCUACACUUAUUUCACAUUGCUCCCUCUAAUGCACUCUCCGUUCCAGCUACAUUGACCUCCUUCCUUUUCCAGGAUCACAAGGUUCCAGCUUCUCCUUUACACAAGCCUUUCCUCAAGCCUGGAAUGCUCUUUCACCUUCACCUUGAGGCUUUUAAAAUUCUAAAUUGCCCAGGGUUUAAGGUUGAAUUUAUUUUUUAAAAUAGCUUUUUAUUGACAGAACCCAUGCCAGGGUAAUUUUUUACAACAUUAUCCCUUGCACUGACUUCUGUUCCGAUUUUUCCCUUCCUUCCCUCCACCCCCUCCUUAAUAUUUCCCAAUAUUUCCUAGAUACAAUAUAUGUGUGCAGAACCGAACAGUUCUCUUGUUGCACAGGGAGAAUUGGAUUCAGAAGGUAUAAAUAACCCGGGAAGAAAAAUAAAAAUGCAAGCAGUUUACAUUCAUUUCCCAGUGUUCUUUCUUUGGGUGUAGCUGCUUCUGUCCAUCCUUGAUCAAUUGAAACUGAAUUAGAUCUUCUCUUUGUGGAAGAGAUCCACUUCCAUCAGAAUACAUCCUCAUACAGUAUCGUUGUUGAAGUGUAUAAUGAUCUCCUGGUAAGGCUGAAUUUAGAUGACGUUUCUUCAACAGAGAUCUUUCCCGAUCCCAUGUCCUAGCCUGAAAUUGCUUUACAUUUAUUUAUUUUUAUAUGUGCACCGUGCUUCGGUAAUAAGUAAGUGGGUAGCUAGGGUACUGAGGUGGUGCUGUUCGUUUGAUGAGGUCCUGGGUAGCUAAAUGAGAGUUAGCAGAGAAAGCCAGAGGCACAGAUAGGUUUAUAAUAUCCCUGAGAUAAGCAAGGUAGCAGAAAGCAGAGAAAGCUAAAACCCUGAAGGGAUCAUUUUAGCCUUAGGCGAGCUUUUGAUUCUUAAGUAAGUCUUUUGUUCAAGUGGACUUUUGAUUUCAUCCCUACUAGAAUGGAAGCUCCUUAGGGCAGGAUUGAGUGGGGAACACCUUGCCCUGAUAAACAUUUGAUAGCCUCAGGCUACUUUUCUCACAUUUUAAAAAACUGUACUUUAAAAACCCUAGCCAAUGGGGAAAAGAGCCUGGGGGAAUGGGAAAGGGAAUUUAAAAAAGGGACUGCCCUUUGCUUGGUGUAUGUUUCUUUCUCAAACUACUCUUUGUCAGAGCCUAUGCACACUUUCUCAUGAGAAAGAACUAAACUUUUUCCUAGACUUAACCAAGCUGAUAUGGGUUUAAUCCUAAACUCACAGUGUAAAUCCAAAUACUUUACCUUUGUAAAUCUCCCUCCAGAAUGGUUGGAUCAGUUCACAGCUUUAACAAUGUAUCAGUGUCCCAGUUUCCCACAUCCCCUGCAACAUUUGUCAUUAUCUUUCCUGUCAUCUUAGCCAAUUGGAAAGGUGUGUAUUGGUAACUCAGAGUUGUCUUAAUUUGCAUUUUUCUGUUCAAUAGUGAUUUAGGGCAUCUUUUCAUAUAAUUAGAAAUGGUUUCAAUUUCUUUAUCUGAAAAUUGUUCAUAUUCUUUGACCAUUUAUCAACUGGAGAAUGGUUUGAAUACUUAUAAAUUUAAGUCAAUUCUCUAUAUAUUUUAGAAAUGAGGCCUUCUUCAGAAUAUUUGAAUGUAAAAAUGUUUACCCAGUUUAUUGUUUCCCUUCUAAUCUUGUCUGCAUUAGUUUUGUUUGUACAAACCCUUUUUAAUUUAAUAUAAUCAAAAUUAUCUAUUUUGUGAUCUCCA